rnacentral:lncRNA from 1 species
ACAAAUCGUCAAAAUAUCUUUUAACAAAGUUAGGGAUAGUAAGCUAAGUCAAAUGACCAUUGAAAUGCGAGCUAAAUUUGACAAACAUUGUGGGUUCUUUAGAUAAAAUGAAUGUUAUGUUAUUUGUGGCUGUUGUUUUGGAUCCUAGGUGCAAAUUAAAGUACUUAAAAGCUAAGUAUACCAUUUAUUAUGGUGAAGAUGAGGCAAAAAAUUUAGAAAAAAUGGUGAAAACAGCUUUAGAGUUGAUGGUGGAUGAAUACAAGAUAAUUGAUGAUCAAUUAUAUAUGGGUGAGGUUGUAGGGAGCUCAGAGAAAUCUGCAUAUGAUAGUGGGCCAAGUGAUA